rnacentral:rRNA from 1 species
GACGAACGCUGGCGGCGUGCCUAAUACAUGCAAGUCGAACGCUGAAGGAGGAGCUUGCUUCUCUGGAUGAGUGGCGAACGGGGGAGUAACGCGUAGGGAACCUGCCCGGUAGCGGGGGAUAACUAUUGGAAACGAUAGCUAAUACCGCAUAAUAGUAGAUGUAGCAUGACAUUUACUUAAAAGAUGCAAUUGUAUCACUACCAGAUGGACCUCCGCCGUAUUAGUAAGUUGGUGGGGUAACGGCUCACCAAGGCGACGAGACGAAGCCGCCCUGGUAGGGGGACCGCCCACCCGGGACCGGGGCCACGCCCAGGCUCCUUCGGGGAGCAGCCGGAGGGAAUCUUCGGCCAUUGACGAAAGUCUGACCGGGCCACGCCGCGUGAGUGAAGAAGGUUUUCGGAUCGUAAAGCUCUGUUGUAAGGGAAGAACGAGUGUGGGAGUGGAAAGUUCACGCUGUGACGGUAUCUUAUCAGAAAGGGACGGCUAACUACGUG